CCUACGGGAGGCAGCAGCCAGGAAUCUUGGGCAAUGGGCGAAAGCCUGCCGCAGCAACACCGUGUGGGCGAUGAAGGCCUUCGGGUCGUAAAGCCCUGUUGAUAGGGACGAAGGGCGAAGGGUUAAUAGCCCCUAGCCUGACGGUACCUUCCGAGGAAGCCCCGGCUAACUACGUGCCAGCAGCCGCGGUAAUACGUAGGGGGCGAGCGUUGUCCGGAAUUAUUGUGCGUAAAGAGCGUGUAGGCGGUUCGGUAAGUCUGCCGUGAAAACCUGAGGCUCAACCUCGGGCGUGCGGUGGAUACUGCCGGGCUAGAGGACGGUAGAGGCGAGUGGAAUUCCCGGUGUAGCGGUGAAAUGCGCAGAUAUCGGGAGGAACACCAGUAGCGAAGGCGGCUCGCUGGGCCGUUCCUGACGCUGAGACGCGAAAGCUAGGGGAGCGAACAGGAUUAGAUACCCUGGUAGUCCUAGCCGUAAACGAUGGACACUAGGUGUGGGGGGAGUCGAAUCCCUCUGUGCCGCAGUUAACGCGUUAAGUGUCCCGCCUGGGGAGUACGGCCGCAAGGCUAAAACUCAAAAGAAUUGACGGGGGCCCGCACAAGCAGCGGAGCAUGUUCUUUAAUUCGAUGCAACGCGAAGAACCCUUACCUGGACUUGACAUGGUGCUGCAAGCGCACGGAAACGUGUGACCUUCGAAGGGUGCACCACAGAUGCUGCAUGG
rnacentral:rRNA from 1 species